GUCACUUGCCGUCCGAAAGUGUUUGUGAGAGUACAAGAUGUGAAUUUGUAUCCAAGUGUUGAUUAGUCCUUAAGGUAUAAGUGGCUCGAGUUCGUGCAUCGGAGAAGAUGGCAAAAAAAAUAAAUAAAAACACGGUUUGAUGUACUAUUAAACAAAUGCUCCAUAACACCAGUACAUUAACUUAUAGUUAAAGCUAAUGGAGGAAGGGCAAAAAGAGGAAGGGCAAAAAGUGCAGAAAUAAAUGGACAUGACAGUA